CUCACACAGUAAACGAUGCUCACCCAAACUAGACAUUCCAUUCUAGUCACUAUAUUGCAUCCGUACUAUACCUAUAGUCUCAUAUGAAAUGAUUCAUUCUAUUUGUCAUUUUUCACCUCAUAUGCCAUAUGUAAUCCCUUUUGUCUAAAUCACGAUGGAACUACCACAUGCAGUUUGGUGGGCCCUUUGGGUAACGCUACCCAGGGCAUUAGAGCCCAUUUUCUGGUUAUAAUGCAUGAAAAGAGGAGGCAUUUAAAAUGUGCAUUUUCUUUAUUUAUAUGUGUGUACAAGUGUGUGUGCUUCUGUAUGUGUAU